rnacentral:misc_RNA from 1 species
AUCGAACCAACUCGCGUGAAAAAUGGGAGCGAAUCUAAUGCUCUUCUUCUUCCUCAUCCUCUCAGCCAUCUCCAGUUUCAGAGCUGAUUAUGUUCGUCCUCAGCCACGCGAAACCCUGCAUUUUCCAUGGAAUCAGAAAUCAUCUUCUCAACCCCAACAGGUGCAUAUCUCCUUAGCCGGAGACAACCAUAUGAGAGUCACAUGGAUUACUAAUGAUCAUUCUGCUCCUUCUUAUGUUGAAUAUGGAACUUAUCCAGGAGAAUAUACUUCUGUUUCUCAAGGAGAGAGCACCUCAUAUAGUUAUAUUUUGUACAAGUCAGGAAAGAUACAUCAUACAGUAAUUGGACCCUUAAAG